GGGGGCGAAUAUGGUUUCGACGGGGGCAUGGAGUCAAGAGUAGCGAGCCGUUGUCGCCAAGCAACGUAAAAAGUGGCAUCUAAAAAUAAACGCAAACGAUAAUUACGCUUUAGCUGCGUAAGGAAAUACGCGGCCGCUUCCUCUAAUAGACCUGCCUAUUAGAGUGUAAGUGUCAUAAUCUUGCAGGGAACUGCUGUAGGGGUUCUCCGACCUAUAGUAGAUUAAUUGGAGAUAGCUGAGAAUAAAGCCUGUUGCUGGGCAUUAUUCUUAGCGAAGUAUAAUACAGCAACUGCGCUCGGAGAAGCUCUUGAUGAAGUGCUUUCGGACGUGGGUUCGACUCCCACCGCCUCCACCA
rnacentral:tmRNA from 3 species